rnacentral:miRNA from 1 species
AGUCAGCCUGUCCUUAGAAGCUUUGAAGGUAGGCAAUGACUUCUCUCUAGCUGUGAGAGUCCGAGAUGGCAU